ACAGGGGUGAAUUCUGUGAGAAGUUGCCAGAAGUUUCCCCCAUGUGUGGCAGAGUCAAUGCCAGCUGACUCCAGGAUGGACCUGCUGCUGACUAAUGCCAAGCAAAUCAGGAAUGAUAGUAACACCUCCAUAUUACUAUCUUUAAGAAGGAAAGAAAGAUAUUGUGCAGAUGAAAUUGCAGCCAGAAAAGAGUAGAGUGAGAACAUGUGAACAACUAUACAGACACCAAGAACUUCCAUAAAGUACUCAACAAGAUGAUUAAUAAAAAGUUAUUCUUAAAUGAGAAAAGGGAUAGGAGAAACCUAUAAAGUCAACAGAAAAAAAAAGAUUGCAACUGGUUUUACUGAGUGAAAGCAUCAACUCAGAGUGAUGUUGUUAAUGAAACAAUCUCAAAGAGAGAGAGGGUGGAGCUUAGUGCUGUGUGGGCAUGGCCAGGUUGCUUUUCUGUACCACCCACAUCAUCACUGGGUACCAUGGCUUGCAGAGGAAAAGCUGGGUGUCCCAUAGGACGUGCACCAGUUUGCCUCACUUUCUUCAGCAGGGGAUC